rnacentral:rRNA from 1 species
UACGGAGGGUGCAAGCGUUAUCCGGAAUCACUGGGUUUAAAGGGUGCGUAGGCGGCGUUGUAAGUCAGUUGUGAAAUACCCCGGCUUAACCGGUGGAAGUGCGAUUGAUACUGCGGCGCUUGAAAGAGGAUGAGGUAGGCGGAAUGUGACAUGUAGCGGUGAAAUGCUUAGAUAUGUCAUAGAACACCGAUUGCGAAGGCAGCUUGCUGGACCUACUUUGACGCUGAGGCACGAAAGCGUGGGGAGCAAACAGG